rnacentral:tRNA from 1 species
CGAUAGCUCAAUGGUAGAGCAGUUGACUCUUAAUCAAUUGGUUGAAGGUUCGAGUCCUUCUCG